UCUGGAGAUCACAGAAUCACAGAAUGUCAGACAUUGGAAGCGAUCUCGAGAGAUCCUUGAGCCUAACUCCAUGCCAAAAGCCGGAUCACCUAGGAUAGAGUGCACAGGAAUGCAUCCAGUUAGAUUUGCACUGUGCUAGCUGAAUAUUCUGCAUACGUUAGAUGAGAGACAGAACUGAGGAAACAUGACAUACAGAGAGCCAAGAAGCAAUCUGUCAAGUUACAAAACCUUUUGCCACAAAUUUACUUCCAGACUACUGAACUGAGAUGAUAGGCUUGUAAGCCUGAAGGAAGUCAGGAAAAGGGAAGGAAGCUGCUGGAAGAGAGAAGAAGUUGGCAUACCUUCCCUUUGUUGAAGUAAUGGAUAAUCUUACGGCACAGACCUUCCUUACGUUGCCACUCUGACUGAGAUGGAUAAUGCAGGAACUCUCUCAGAGGUCUGUCCUCCCACUGAAGCAACUCACAGUACAAAAGCAAAGUAAAAGCAGCCUCUGUUGGAAAUGCAGUUAUUGAACACUGAAUCAAUGACAACAAAUAAAUACAGACAAAAGACUCAAAGGUCACCUGA